rnacentral:rRNA from 1 species
ACUCCUACGGGAGGCAGCAGUGGGGAAUAUUGCACAAUGGGGGAAACCCUGAUGCAGCCAUGCCGCGUGUGUGAAGAAGGCCUUCGGGUUGUAAAGCACUUUCAGUAGGGAGGAAAGGGUAAGGUUUAAUACGCCUUAGCUGUGACGUUACCUACAGAAGAAGGACCGGCUAACUCC